rnacentral:rRNA from 1 species
AUGAUUCGACCUGAUGGGAUCAACAUCCCCGACGGCAAGUUCUACCUUGGAGAUGCUGGCUAUGCAUGUCGGCCGGGUAUUCUUUCACCCUUCAGGAAAACCAGGUACCAUCUCAAUGAGUUCUCUGGUAGGAACUAUCCUAGGACUGCACAGGAGCUGUAUAAUCUCAGACACUCCAGCCUUAGAGUAACUGUUGAGAGGGCAUUUGGAGCUCUGAAGAAUAGGUUUAAGAUCCUGGAUCAUAAGCCAUUCCACCCAUACCCCACUCAGGUUAAGCUUGUUCUUGCUUGUUGCAUUCUGCAUAACUGGAUCCUCCAGUGGGGCUUUGAUGAACAAGUGCCUAAGGAGGAAGAGGUCGAGCUUGAUGAUGUUGUUAGCCCCGGCCAUGGUGUGGAGGCAUUUGACAAUGACGCUUGGAAGAACAAAAGGUUGGAGUGGGCAGAGGCAAUGUGGCUUAACAGAGGUCGGUGCAGGAUUUAA